rnacentral:rRNA from 1 species
AUUGAACGCUGGCGGCAGGCCUAACACAUGCAAGUCGGGCGAGAGGCGGACGGGUGAGUAACGUAUGGGGAUCUGCCUGAUGGAGGGGGAUAACUACUGGAAACGGUAGGUUAUACCGCAUACCAUCAGAUGAACCCAUAUGGGAUUAGCGUGUAGGGUAGGUAACGGCUCACCUAGGCGACGAUCCCUAGCUGGUCUGAGAGGAUGAUCAGCCACACGGGGACUGAGACACGGCCAAGACUCCUACGGGAGGCAGCAGUGGGGAAUAUUGCACAAUGGACGCAAGCCUGAUGCAGCCAUGCCGCGUGUAUGAAGAAGGCCUUCGGGUUGUAAAGUACUUUCAGUCGGGAGGCGUUACCGACAGAAGAAGCACCGGCUAACUCCGUGCCAGCAGCCGCGGUAAUUC